rnacentral:rRNA from 1 species
CAAUAGCGUAUAUUAUUGAUGUUGCAGUUGAAACGUUCGUAGUCGAACUUUUUCUGCCGAGGCAGUGUGUCUGUCACAGACAGCACAUCUGUUCAUCGCAGAAAAGUGUUAGUCCUCCACAUGUUCCAUGUGGAUGUGUGCUAACACCAUACUUUGAGUGAAUCGGCGUGUUCCACGCAGGCUUUACGCCAUGAACGAUUUACCAUAGUAUAUUCACAGUAUAUAGAUACCUUCUUGUCUUCUCGAAGGUAUUUAUGAUACAUAAAAGAACGGUCGAGGGCAUUCGUAUUCAACUGCCAGAGGUGAAAUUCUUUGAUUAGUUGAGGACGAACCAUUGCGAAAGCAUCUGCCAAGGACGUUUCUGUUGA